AAAGAACCCAGAUGCCCCUCAACAGAGGAAUGGAUACAGAAAACGUGGUACAUUUACACAAUGUACCACACAAUUACACUCAGCUAUUAAAAAGAAUGAAUUUAUGAAAUUCCUAGGCAAAUGGAUGGACCUGGAGGGCGUCAUCCUGAGUGAGGUAACACAUUCACAAAGGAACUCACACAAUAUGUACUCACUGAUAAGUGGAUAUUAGCCCUGAACCACAUUUCUUGAGGCAGCAACGGCUCUCCACAGUUUGGUCCAUGAGGCUUGGGAAACAUCUAUAAUGUUUAAUUUAUAUAAUUCCUAAUGUGACAGUAACUGUCUAACAAAAGGACUGACAUCUCAAGCUUGGUGUCACCUAAGGACAUAUUUAGCAGAACUUAGUGGAAUUUAUGUGGAGGAGACAAUUAGUGCAGCAUUGUAAUUAAAAGGCUCCAUUGCUGUGAAGCCAUUAGAAAAGAUAGGACUUUUGGCCGAGGAUUUUGAGAUCAGAAGAGCAUAGAUGUGGACAUUCUUAUUCCACGUCUCAAACCCCAUUGCCCAUCCUAUGUGCUACCCAGCAGCCCUUCAGGGGCAUAAGGACCCUGGGAACUGAGAGAAGCCGUGUCUAUGGUCAGAAAUGCAAACUAGAAAUUAAAAUUUAAGAGGCAUUAUUAAUAUAAAUUUACAAAACUUCAGAGAAGUAUGAAUAACAAGUGUAUGUAGUGCCUUUUUAACAUGUGAUCAUAUUGAAUUUUCUCAGCACUCUUCCUUGGUGCUACGAUAAAAAACAAAGCUUUGCACAUACUUCAUAAUCUCUUUACAAUGUUUAUGCCCUAAUUUUUGGUAUAUAAUGUAGAAAUAAUAACCACGUCUAUAAAUUCUUAAAAGAAAUCACUCCCAGAAAACUACUGUUAUAAUUAGUGCUAUCAUCUCUUUAAAUCUCUCAGUCUUGAGAGACUGUCAUCCUGAUAGAAUUUGUAAUCACCAUACAAACAAACAUCUGGGAAUGUCUAUCAGGGAAUUUGUAGAUUAGGCCACUUGAAGAAGGGAAACUCAACCUAGCUGUGGGCAGCACUAUUCCGCGAAGAGGGGUCUGAACAGAAUAGAAAGGAGAAAGGCAGCUGAACAUCAGCAUUCAUCUCUCUUUGUUUCCUGGAUGGCGAUAUAAUGUGGCCAGCUGUCUCAAACUCCUGCCAUAGUACUGUCACCUUAAUGAUGGUCUGCUUCACCAGGUAAGCCAAAAGAAACUCUUCCCUUCGUGAGUUGCUUUCUUCUGGUAUUUUGCCACAUGGAUGACAAAUAUAACUACUAAAAGGGUUACCAUAUUUCAAGAUGUGGUUGAGGUGCAAAUAACCUACCUAAGGUAGUACUCUGCAUUGCCUAGAAGAUAGUAGUAUUCUCAUAUUUGUUUUUACAUUAAAACAGCUAAGGGGGUGUUAAAGUAAUGAUUCUUUCUAAGAAGCAUUCUAUAACCUAUUCUAAGAAGUAAUUAAUUCACUAUAAUUUAUAAGACAUUCCAAUUGUCUUGAGAUCUUUCUCCAAGUCUUAUAGUUAAAACAACCCUAUCAUAUUGAUAAACUAUGUAUCAAAGCUUCCAGUUACAUAAAUAUAUACAGAAUAAGUAUUUUUAUCCAGCCUGUGCAGG
rnacentral:lncRNA from 1 species